GCGGGGAGAGGCGGAGGGAAGGGGGGAAAUCCCUUUUAGUUUUGCGAUUAGGCUGCCAGGCUUUGUAAAGGGCUUAAAAACAAAGUCAUGCUCCGUCUUUUGUAGGAGAGAUCCAGAUGUUAUGUAGAUUUCUGUUUGCAUGUUCGUUUUGAGCGGAUCCGGCGGUGAGCACAGUAUUUACGUGUGUGUGUUGCUGGACUUUACCGUUUAUCGACGUUGCGCUUGUGGAAUGUAUGCUGGAGUAUUAGCUCGAGGAUCUCCUCCAAGAUUAAAGCUAGUCCUAAGAGCAACCGAAUUGCUGUGACUGACUUUCACGGGACUGUAAAGAGAGCUGCCUAUAAAACUCCAGAAGAGGAGCGCUCUCAUUUUUACACUGGAGUUCUUGGUCCAGAGAGAACAAUAUACUCCUACCUCUUUUGAAAUGAUCCGGAGACUCUCACAACACACAGGCAAUCACUCGAAGCACGAAUUUCCUUUUUUUUUUUUUUUUUUAAAGAACUGCUCGGCCCAUUGUUUGAAGUGGGAUUCAGUGCAGAGCCCAAAGAGAAAAGGAAAAAAGAGAAAAAAAAUCCUGAGAGCCCGGUUUGGUAUUGCACAGAGAGAGAGAGAGCUGACAAAAUAUUAUAGCGUGUUUCCUAGAAGUACAUGAUUAAACCCUCCAGGAGAAUUGGGAAAUUGUACAGGGUUACAGCGACGAGCCAAAGCACACCUGUGAAUGCCACAACCUUCCCAAAGAGAGCAACAACCCUCCCGAACCACGCACACACUCGCAGGGGUUUGAAUCCAGCUAGAAAGAAGGAGACAAAAGGAGCAAUAAAUACAUGUGUGAUCCUUUCCGAGCCGUUUGGAGCCCAAAGGAAAAAAGCAAACUGUAAGCAGUGUUGGGCAUUUGAUGCCCCCCGCCACUAUUUUAUCAGGGUCUGAUCAAUGUGAUUAUUCCCUUUAACUAUAAGCAGUGAUUUUUUUUAUUAGGAUGAUCUCAGGCAACUCUCUAAUUUUCUCCAAGAGCCCAGCUGAGGGAUAAAGAAACUCAGGACUAAAUAAAUAAGUCCAUUUGCACA
ensembl:lncRNA